rfam:Triticum aestivum genome assembly, contig: Triticum_aestivum_CS42_TGACv1_scaffold_374242_5AL
GAAAUACUCCCUCCGUCCGGAAAUACUUGUCAUCAAAAUGAAUAAAAGAGGAUGUAUCUAGAUGUAUUUUAGUUUUAGAUACAUCCAUUUUUGUCCAUUUUGAUGACAAGUAUUUCCGGACGGAGGGAGUAAGUA